rnacentral:pre_miRNA from 1 species
UUUGUACUCCCUCCAUCCCAAAAUUCUUGUCUUAAAUUUGUCUAAAUAUGGAUGUAUCUAGUUACAUUUUAGUGUUAGAUACAUCUGUAUCUAAACAAAUGUAAGACAGGAAUUUUGGGACCGAGGGAAUACUAC